GCUACCUAAAAAGACAGACUGCCCACACAUGUGUGCCUACAAACUGGUUACUGUCAAGUUCAAGUGGUGGGGCCUGCAAAACAAAGUGGAAAACUUUAUUCAAAAGCAAGAGAAGCGCUUGUUCACUAAUUUCCACCGGCAGCUGUUCUGUUGGAUUGAUAAAUGGAUCGAGCUGAACAUGGACGACAUCCGCAGAAUGGAGGAAGAGACCAGGAGGGAACUGGAUGAGAUGAGAGUGAAGGAUCCAGUGAAAGGCAUGGUGGCUCUUGAAGACUGAGGCUGCUCUGUGUUCCUGGAUGCUGCUGUUCAUAAAGUCUUUCUCAGAUCAGACCUGAACUACUGGAGACCAGCAGCAUCACUCUCCUCAAAUCACAGCAACAUGUCUUUUUAAUCGUAAUGGAAGUCCUUCAUCCAGCUCUUUUGGUGACCGUUUGUCCUGAGCAUCUUUCAUAUCCUCCUUUCAGUCUGACAAUGGAGCACAUUGACAAGUUAAAUAGGCUAUUAUUCCGGUUCUAUCCUCAUGCCCAGUUUCUGAAGUCUUACCUACUUAAAUACAGGGACGAUCAGCGGUUAGUCAUUUAUGAUGUCAGAUCAUUACCUUAACAUAUGGAGCUCGGCAGAAUUGUGUUUUAAGAUAAGUUUAAUGUAAAGCAGAUGAUAUUUGUGUGUAUAUAUAUUCAGAAUAUCUAUUGGCAGUGGAAUUAUUGUGACAGAUGUAUAAACAGGGUUUUUAAGUAAUUGUUCUCCUAAUUGUUUUGCGGACCAAGCCGGUUUUCCUUGUUUUGUUUUAAUCUGUAGUGAUUUGUUUUUGUUGCUUUAUUUUUUUUAUUUUAUUUUACCCACUUUUUAGCCUAUUUACUAGCUGAUCCAAGAUGUAAGUGUGUCUCUUUAUAGUGUAGUAUUGUACAAUCAUAGUCGUGUCAUCCUGACCAUUCAUUUAUUUUUAACAUGCAUUGUGGAUUCAUUUUUUUUGGCAGCUGCUUGGUCACCUUAAAAUGUCAGCAAGUACUGUUCAUAAUUUAAUGCAAGACAGAGUUUUUUAUAACUCAUUGAACAGUAUCACAUUCUUGGAAGUAUUGUUGUUUGUUAAUCAGUCAAUAUUAAUGGUUUCAUUGUCAUCUCUUCCACAAUUUCCUUGUGUGUGUGCUAUUUUAGUCAAGUUAUUGUAUUUAUUUAUUUAUUUUUUAUAAAAAAGACAGGCGUACCGUAGGUGUAGCUCUCUCUCCCUUGGCUGUUUUUGAUUGGUUUA